AGUAUUCUCCAAAAAAUGACCAAACCAUCUUUCAUUCUUGAUCACUAACAUAAUUUACUAACACAUUAUUAUAUUAGCUUUAUUUUAAUGUCAUUUAUUGUAUGCUUUUACUUCUCGUUAUUUACUUUAUGCUUUUAUUUUGGCAUCUCAUAUUUGUCGCGGUGAAGAAUCAGAGACCAAACUAUUGAUUAGACUUGACUCAUAAAUCAAAAUAUCA
rnacentral:lncRNA from 1 species